AGGUGGACCUUGAGACACUAUGUCAGGAAGUGGAUUGGAUAGUGCUUUUUGAAUCCAUCUGGUUUGCCCUUUUAUUUUUGAAGUCCAAUAGGAUUUAUUAGAAGGUUUAAUGAACUCCUAAUCCUAAUGAAGUAUCCCAUAAUUCCAUAGGAAGCAUACGGAUAUACUACUGAUUUACUUCGGUCACACCCAUAAAUUGAAGGUCAAUUAGUACCUAAAAGGAAUACAUUCUCAGCAAUUCCACGCUUUGUAUUGACAUAUUUUGGUGAAGCCAUUUUUUGAUGUGAACCCCUGAUGAAGUCCUAAUGGACGAAACACAUUGGGUUUCUACGAAUUUGGGUUUCUAUGAAUUUGUGAACAGAUCACACAUGCUUUUUCGUGUUGAAGAAUAAGCACUUCACCGAACAACUGAGAACAUCAUACAAUAGAUUAUUACAAAUGAAUGUAUUACUCAAUCAACAUGUGUGAUCCUCCUAUUCAUGUUAUGGAAGUUUAUAUGACAAUACUGUAAUAUGUUUUAAUAAACAAUAUUUUUAUCAUAUGAAUUAGA